rnacentral:rRNA from 1 species
UACGGGGGGGGCAAGCGUUGUUCGGAAUUACUGGGCGUAAAGGGCGCGUAGGCGGCCGCCUAAGUCAGACGUGAAAUCCCUCGGCUCAACCGGGGAACUGCGUCUGAUACUGGGUGGCUUGAAUCCGGGAGAGGGAUGCGGAAUUCCAGGUGUAGCGGUGAAAUGCGUAGAUAUCUGGAGGAACACCGGUGGCGAAGGCGGCAUCCUGGACCGGCAUUGACGCUGAGGCGCGAAAGCCAGGGGAGCAAAGCGGG